GUAUUAAAUUUUCGACCAAUAAAGGUCUUAACAAUUAAACAUUCUAAUAAACUUUGUGUGUGUGUAAAAAAAAAUAACAUAGACACAGAUUUGUGAAAAUCUGGCCUACAAUAAGUUCACAGGUGAGAUGAAAAGGCAGAGUGCACAUUGCCCCGAAAGGCCAGCAACAUCCUAAGGAUUUCAAUAAUGAUCCUUCCGCAGGUUCACCUACGGAAA
rnacentral:misc_RNA from 1 species